rnacentral:rRNA from 1 species
UACGGGGGGGGCAAGCGUUGUUCGGAAUUACUGGGCGUAAAGGGCUCGUAGGUGGCCAACUAAGUCAGACGUGAAAUCCCUCGGCUUAACCGGGGAACUGCGUCUGAUACUGGAUGGCUUGAGUUCGGGAGAGGGAUGCGGAAUUCCAGGUGUAGCGGUGAAAUGCGUAGAUAUCUGGAGGAACACCGGUGGCGAAGGCGACUACCUGGCCUGUUCUUGACGCUGAGGCGCGAAAGCUGGGGGAGCAAACGGG